rnacentral:rRNA from 1 species
UCUAAAAUUUUAUAAUAGAAUUUUAUUUUUUAGUCAAAAAGCUAAAAUAUAUUUAAAAGACGAGAAGACCCUAAAAAUCUUUAUAUUUAGGUUAUUAUAAUUUUAUAGAUUUUUUUUGUUAUAAUAAUUGAUAAUAUUUUAUUGGGGUGAUAUUAAAAUUUGAUAAACUUUUAAUUGUUUAAAUCAUUAAUUUAUGAAUAAUUGAUCCGUUAUUAGCGAUUAAAAAAAUAAGUUACCUUAGGGAUAACAG